AGCUAGCUAUCAUACACUAAACACUGUGCCAACUCCUGGAGAUACAAAUAAAAGUAAGACUGGGCUAGUACUCCAUGUGAUUUUAGGUUAGAGAAAGUAGAUUUAAGGGAGGACCAGCAAGUCUCUUGAAAACAUACUUGAAGCCAAUGUCAUUUCCUAUAUUUUUAAAGAUGUAGACAGUAAUAAGGACACUACACAUACACGAGUACAUAAGGAUGUCCCUCUCCUACGUCCUCCUCAGGAAUAAAUUGAGGAUGAGGGAUAAUGCCAGUCAGGUAUUAGGAUCACAAUAUCUUGACACAAUCCCUUUGGAGUUUUGGGAACCCCAAAAUACAUGCAUUCUGCUACCUCUCUUAAAAUUGAUCUUUAAAGAUUCUCAGUAGAGCAAGAAUGAAUGUUCUCAGAUUUGAAGGGUUUUCUUUCCCACAGGGAGUUCAUAAGCAGUGUUUCAGUAGAGAGAGUGAGGUGUCAGCUUUACUGAGGCCCCAUAAUUUAGAGGAAGGAAAACAAAGAUAUGCAAUAACAGGGAGAUAAUUUAAUUCCUGUCUGUCAGCUGUUCACAAAUAUAGAUAUACCCAAAGUGCUACUUGAACACCAAGGAAGGAUUACAAACCCGGCUGGUGAAGCUAUGUGGAGAGGA
rnacentral:lncRNA from 1 species